GACGAACGCUGGCGGCGUGCUUAACACAUGCAAGUCGAACGGAAAGGCCCUGCUUUUGUGGGGUGCUCGAGUGGCGAACGGGUGAGUAACACGUGAGUAACCUGCCCUUGACUUUGGGAUAACUUCAGGAAACUGGGGCUAAUACCGGAUAGGAGCUCCUGCUGCAUGGUGGGGGUUGGAAAGUUUCGGCGGUUGGGGAUGGACUCGGGGCUUAUCAGCUUGUGGGUGGGGUAGUGGCUUACCAAGGCUUUGACGGGUAGCCGGCCUGAGAGGGUGACCGGCCACAUUGGGACUGAGAGACGGCCCAGACUCCUACGGGAGGCAGCAGUGGGGAAUAUUGCACAAUGGGCGGAAGCCUGAUGCAGCAACCCCGCGUGCGGGAUGACGGCCUUCGGGUUGUAAACCGCUUUCGCCUGUGACGAAGCGUGAGUGACGGUAAUGGGUAAAGAAGCACCGGCUAACUACGUG
rnacentral:rRNA from 1 species